GUCCUGGUUGCAAGAGGCGUGUGGCGAAGAAGAACACAAGAAUGCCCAGAGAAAUUGAGAAGUGAAAGGCAAAAGUAAAACUCACAUUACCCAGUCGUCCGUCGUGCCACGCCAUUGCUGCAGCUUGCCUGCCGAUAUAAAAUUUGAUUUCUAUGCAGCAAUGAAAGAUAAUUUGACAAAAUCCAGUACUCAUGUCACCAAAGGCAAAUCAAAACUUAAAAUGGCAACGAAGAAAGAUGAUGUGACCAAAGCAAGAACUUGUGUCACCACAGGCAUUUCAGUUGGCAAAAAUCAAUCUAAUUCGUCUACUUUUAAGGGACAAAAUGUUUUCUCUAAGGCCACUGGGGGAGGGAAAAGAAUUUUCGGUGAAUCCAUCUUCACACGGCGUUCUAAAGAAAAGUUGUGAAUCAAAUAUACCCGAUUCAGAAGAUGAGGUGAUGCAACAACCGAUAGAAUUGUUAGGAGAGUUUCACAACCAUGAACUUUGCUGCAAGAACCGAAAGAGAAGGAUGGAAGAGAGUUUAUUGAUAAUUAAUUGUAGUAACAGAUUAAAUCCUCAAUUUUAUUUAGUUUUUGUUCUGUCUAGUCCACUAACUUCCACUUUCUGGUGUCAGAUAUUACUGAUCGCGAGUCUCCAUCUCCAUCACCACCACAGUCAGUGAUUUUGGAGCAAAAAGAGGAACUUAGAAAGCUGUACCAAGUCUUAAGAGGAGAGAAGAACGGCUUUGGCACCUGAAUACCCAAAUGACUUUCUGGUUAGUGCCAUGUCUCCUGUUUUCAUAACCGAGUCAAAGGGAGCAAGCACACUCUAGGAGGACCGUAUUUGGGUUUGAAGCUGAGAGAGGUCUGAUGAAUCCUUGAUCAUCUCGCGAUCUAUGUAUUUGGACUACAUUGUGAUGUUCUUCAUUACUUUUGCAAAGACUGCUUAUGAUCCCUUGUGAUUUUGUUCUCCUUUUAGAUGAAGUUUGUCGUUUAGUCAAAACUAUUUGACUAAUAACCCUUAAUUCUCUGUGUAAAUGUUUUAUCUAGUUUGACUUUACUACAAAAAUCUGAUGUAUCAUACGGGCAAUCUCUGGCUGAUGUUCAUCAAGAUCAGAGGCCGAUUGACAAAGUCACAUGAGUGUUUUGGAGGUCA